CCCGCCUCCUCCCCGGGGUCCGCUCUUUGGCCCGGUCCUCGGGCUGCGCGGUUCCUUCCCCGGGGCGCGUCCAGCCAUGACAAAGCUCAGAGGACCAGGAGGGCUUUUCUUCCCAGGGCUGUCUCAAGUGAGAGGAGGCUUUUUUCCAGAAACCUCCCAGCAAGACUUCCCUUCGCAUCUCACUGGGCCCAAGAAGGAUCGACUAAGUAGUUCAGAACAACUUCCCCAUCGUGAACAGUUAGUAAAGCUGGAUGGACACAAACCCAUGAUUUGCGGACAGUGCUGAACUGAUAAGACAGUGAAUCACAGGAGGAAGAGAAACCCUCAGUUUGCCUGAUGUCUGACUUUGCCGAUACUUUGAAGAAGGACUAAGCGUACCAGCCGCCAC